AAAUUGAAGAGUUUGAUCAUGGCUCAGAUUGAACGCUGGCGGCAGGCCUAACACAUGCAAGUCGAACGGUAACAGGAAGAAGCUUGCUUCUUUGCUGACGAGUGGCGGACGGGUG
rnacentral:rRNA from 1 species